AGCCGAGUUGAAACAUCGGUUCCCGUACGAUCAUCGAAGUUAAGCAACGUUGAACAUGAUCAGUACAUAGCUGGGUCACCACUUGGAAAUGCCAAGUGCU